UCAGAAAUGUAUUUAAAUCUUAUUCACAGUUCUGAUACAUGCUGAAAGUUAAGAAGAUGCUAAGCACUCCCCUGAUACAGAGUGCUAGUAGUGGGUUUGGGUUUUAUUUUUCUUCUUAUAUUAAAUUGUGACUGAAUUUAUUUGGCCAUCUUUUCAUCUGUAACCUAUCUCGUGGCUUUCGAGGGCAGAUAAAGCAAAAAUAUCUAUAGCUAUUGUAUUAAAUAAGGCUGUCACCAACCCCAACUGUGGAACAGGGGAUCAGUACGUGUCUGGACAAAUUAUGUAGUUUCUUCUGUCUUCCAGUAUAUGUUUUGGUUUUGCUGUGCCUCUAUAAGGCCAAUUAACAUUAAUGGGAGUUGUCUACACACACCCAGCAGAGAACAGACCCUUACAGGAGGACCUCAUUAGCUCGCUCUUUCUGCAGCUUUCGUUCUGAGUUGCUAAAUUUUAUGGAUUAGCAAGAAUGCUAAAAAUAUGGAAAAGUAAUCCGGAUAUUGCCAUACCAAAGUGCUUACUUAAUGAAUUUUAAUGAGUCAGGUUUGAGAAUGAAUUUGUAGGUCCAUAUAUAACUAGACCUCUGGAAAAACUAUACAAAGGCAAUCUGAUCAUCCAGCUGUAUAAAUAUCCCACUGCAUGGUCCUGACCUCUUACACUCAGUAUAAUUCCCUGAGAAACUGUUUCCAAGGGAAAAACACUAGAAAUUCUCAUAAACUUUUAUUUCUCAACCUGUCAAAGAAGAGGCGUUUGUAAAGGGAGUCACGCACAGGAGAACGCCCAGAGGAUGUCCUUGGGACAAUAAUGCUGCAAGGAUUGCUCAUCUCCUGGGAUAAUGCUGUGAGUUCCAACCACCCUCGAGCAAACUGAGCUGGUAUUUUUAAAGACGCUGCAUAUUUAAGACAACUAUGAGAAACCUGCAGCCCCUGACAUCAUUUCUCUGGCCAAGAGAUGCUUGAUUUUUCCCACGUUAAUAGAGGGAUAACAUUAGAUGUGUUUUUAUGUGUGGUCUCCCAGUGGUAUCUGAAGGGCCCUCAGCAUGGAAAGAUUCUUCCCUGUUUCUUUUUCUCCCUGUGGAUUUGAGGGAAUGUAACUGUAAGAGGAGGCAGGUUCAGCAGUGAAGCUGUUCCUCAGCCCUGUCUUACCAUACACCCCAGCACCCUGGAGUGAGGGACCUGGGUUGUAUUGGAACAAACACUAUGAAUUUGCAAGUCAAAAAGUGAAGCAUCUGAAUUCGAUGUGUAUCAAUGUGGAUUAAUUAUCGGGAUCGUGGGAAAAAUGAACACAGUUGAAAAGGAAUGAUGAAACUGCAAUAAAGCACAUGGAGGUUGGGAAGUCACCCUCCUUUUUAAACAAGUAAGUUUUGAAAAUAUUAAGCAAAUGCAAGAUUUAAAUAGAAAAAUAUCCCUGUGCAGUAGCAAUCAUUUCAUCCAGCUGGAAUCCCACCACAAACUCUGCCUCCCAUUGCUGUUCGCCAGCACGUAAUGUGUUAUCUUCUGCUAUGUGAUGCCUUCCCACUGUCCCCUUGCAGAACACCCAGUUGCAGAAGGGGAACAUGAGGCAGUAUAUAACCCUGCUAAAUUCAACUCAUUACUUUUUUUAAAUGAAAGAAAGCUGCAUUUGCAGGGAGUUCUCAGAGGCCUGGAAAGUCUCAGAACUAUCCCGCUACUCUCUGUCUUUUCCUGCAGUCAUCUUUGAAAGUAUUUCUGUUCUCUUCUGCUACUCUGUGGAAUAUUUUUUCAUUCUUAAAUUGAUGAUUUGUCCUUUGCGAUGUUUCUGUGUGAGGAUUUAUAUGUUCUCCAAUGAGGAGGAAACAAAUAAGAACCUGAAUUCUGAAAGCCACAAAGCCUGGAUUACGUAUCUCUGAAAUGCCGUGAUUUUAUCCUGACUUUUCACCCUGAGAGUCCACUUCUCUCUGCCAGCAUCUCUGCUCUGCACCAGACAGGUCUCACUGACCUAGGCCCAACACAGGACAAGACCCAGCUCAUUGUGCUUCCUCCAAAUAGCGCACAAACUAAACACUGGCUCUGGAGGAACUGCACUGGUAUCUCUAAUUCGCUUUUGAAACCCAGUUACCUUAAAUUGUGCCAUGCCCUGGCUGGGGCUUACUUGCAUUCUCAUCUGUAGUACAGUGAUUUAGCUUGGUAAAAGCUCCAAUUAGUGUGUCAGCUAGUGCAAAGUAAGGGCUGAGCAUAGGGAUGCCAAAAAUGGUGGGAGACAGUGAAGCUUCGGAAUACGUUUGGGUAUAGAGGGAGGGGAGAGUUAGAUCUCUGGAGGAAACUGAGUGGGAGGACAGGGAGAUCCAUGAGAAAACCCAGGGAGAAAGGGUCCUGGGGCUGUCAUCUUUAUCCUCAAACUGUCUGUGGCCCAUCAGUCCUCUCCCUGCUUGUCCUCACUUCCCAAAUCAGUGGAGAGCAGCCUCAUUGACCUCAUCUACCUUGCCAUUUAUCAAGGACAGGACCGCAGCAGAAACCAUGCCAAGCAGGGAGAAGAGGCUCCUGCAGCCGUCCCACAUGGGCCAUCUGGCUAUUCUAUAUUCUCAUCUUGCCUUUCAGGCCUUAUCAUUUUGAAAUUAGCUCUUGGGGUUGAAUUUAACAUUCUUACUUUCAAAAAAGUAAGCAAGCAAAAAGACAAGGUUUUAGUUUUCAUUUUUAUUGUUGUUUCCAGUCCAGCUCUUUCAUGCUAUUUUUAGAUUCCUGUGUUUUAAUGCUGUGGUAUGAAUUACUGGGAUUUCCCCUUGCUAACAUAAAAUAGACAAUCUGCACUUUGGUAUUAGCAGUCAGCCAGGAAGUCCAUGACUGGUGCCAAAAAUGGGCCUUCUUUCAUAAAUCUGCAUUUGUUUCAUUUCCUUUUGCAGCAAUGACAUGCCAGAUCAGCUGCAUUUGUUUCUUGAUAUAUUAUGUAGUGCCAUAUAACAUGACAGGCUUAACUGGAAAUGAGAGACAAGAUUUGUCUCUAUUUGAUUCACUGAUGAUACAUACAGUUGGGAAAUGCUGGUUUUGAAGAAAUCACAGGAAUAUUUUCUGAUUCCUAUAAAGAACAACUGGCAGAAGACAGUCAUUCUACAGGGAGCUUUAAAUCUUUGAAAACAUACAAGAUGAAUCUUGUAUGUCUAAUUGCCUUUAACACCUUGACAGAAUUAUCUUUUAUUGAUCAUAUAUUUAUUGCAAGGCAAGGAACCUGUAACCAAGUAGGCUGAAAUGAACUGAAGGCUCCAGAGAUCCAGAUCCUCUUCCAGGUCUGCCACCGUCUGAGCAACCCAUCUCUGUUUUGCUGUGAAAUGGGAAUCGUUCUGUUGAUCCACCUUCUGUGCAGCCUGUGAAGGAAAAAGGUAAAAAACUUGUAAUUAUGCUUCUCUCUGGACCGGAGUUAACUUCCAAAACACUCUAAUUGCUAAUGUGGCUGGUCUCUUCCUCUGAUCCAGGAAGGUGGUAAGGAUUACAUGAAGCCAUUUUUUAACUUCUAUUUUUAAGAGCUCUGAAAGGCAACACCUAAAUGCUAGUCAUUGCCAUCCUUAAAUAAAUAAAAUGGCAGCUCCAGGCACUUUGACAUUCAUGGUUAGCAGGGAACACAGGCAGUGCUGGGAAUGCAGAGCAGCAGCAUGCAUGGCAUGGCAUCACUCUGUACAGCUUGCUUUCAGCCAGGGAAAGGUUCUUGGUGCAUCAUACCAGCUCCCUGGCACAGUGCCCUCAGACUGCCUCUCAAAAACAUAGCUCAUGCAGAUGUGGUCCAGCAAGGACUGUGACAGCCAGUUACUGGACCAGCGGUCAAAAGGGCUGCCAUUAUCUCACUGGGAUGAACACCAUUCUUAGGGGGACAAAGUUCAGCAGAGCUGAUCAAAGCAGCCCUCUGCUCUGUGCUCAGGAGGAAGAGCUCACCAUGCUGGGAUCUCUGGGGUAACCUGUUAAUCAAAGCAAAUCAAGCCAGGUGAUUUGCGUACCACUGAAAAUGCACGCAGAGUGUGAGGCAGCAGCCUAUGAACAGAUUAUUAGAGACCUAAAUUCAUCUCACAUGCAGAUCCCUGGAGGCUAAUGAAGUCCCAGCCAAUACGCUGGCACAAAUGACGAAGCACUCCUUACUGCACUGUGCUGCAGCAUGAUAAUGUACAGGAAUGUGCACAUAAAUAAGCAGGUCAUGGGAAGCAGCAACAGAAAGAAAGGCACAAAUGCAGCAAUAGCACCAGGUAUUGUGCUUGGUUUACUCCUCUGCAGUUUGGCCUGCAGUGAUGUGCUGCACUUGGCUCUGUACCUUCGAGCUAUGCUCAGUGCCUUACAUAAGGAUUUUCCCUUGGCGUGCUACGAGCAACAAGUCAGGCUGGAGGUAAUGGUGAGCUUGGCCUCACUUGCUUUGUUGGGCUAAAGCUGACCACUUCAGGCACAUCAGGCACCACGGGGAGCAAGAGCUUUGAGUUGCUAGAGGAAGACAUUUGAUAACCUUCCAGAUGUGGAUAAAGAUUAUGGUUAGGGGCACGUUAUACUCAUUCCUGGAUUGCUGAGUACUAGACUGUAUUUACUUGCAAGGCUGUAUUCCCACAGGCAGGCUUGUAUUAGGAGACACGUCCUGUUGAUGCCACUGCUGUCCCAGACGGUGAGAGGUCCAAAUCCCACCCCUGCAUUUCCCUUCAAGGUCACACGCUUCCAGGAUUUCCUGUUCAGGCAGUGCCAGGCUCUCCUGAUCAGCAACUGCUUCUCUCACCCCACCCCCAGUCCCGAGCUUAGUCACUUCCAGCCACCGGUUCUGCUUCCUGCCCUGCUGCUGCUGAGGCCUCUUCCAAUUGUGAAACCAGCGGUUAACUUCGUGACCAGCAGUGAGCAAGCCUGCCCAUCCCACUGCCACACACAGGCUGCCCGCCUGAGGCAGGCCUGGCUCUGCUAAUGCCUGCAACAUGCCUGGGAGAAGCAGCAAUAUUUGAUAGCUGAAGAGUUGCACAAGAAAGCAGCAGUCACUUGCCUAGGAUGUCUGAGGAACAGAAAUUGAAUGCAGACCUCCCACGGUCAAGGACUGUGCUUUUACCUACCAUAAAUCCUCUUCUUAUAAUGACGAAAAGGUUGUUCCAUGAGAAGAGGUACUUCUCAAUGCAGAAAGCAUCCUCUGUGCUGUGUGCUUUUUUUUUUUCCCAGCUCCCAUCCUUCCCACUUCAGGAAUGGUGCAUCUUACAGAAGUCAGGCAUUUUUGGUGAAGGGUCCUCAUCUGUAAAAUAAAUGGGAGCCAGAACUCAGCAUUAAAACAAAACCUCCACCCCUUUAGUACCACUGAUAACUGGACUUUCCACAAGCACAAGGUGAAACAGGGACGACAGUUCAGGCAAACCACCACCCAGGCAGCAGGGCAGAAAAACACUGACUGUGAAAGGAACCUGCUAACCGUAGGAUACAAGAUUUGUUCUUCUCGGCUUUCCUGUGGCUAAGGACAUGACUAAUCCUGUGUGACAGCCCCAUGCUUGGAGCCUGCUGCUCUUACUGGUGCAGCUGGGGACUCUGUCACUUUUCACCAUCACAACUCGAAAUGAAAACUCUUCUGCAAUGAAAUUGUUUCUGCAGUGAAAUGGAGGAUCACUAAAGCUCUUGCCACAACCACUGGGAAUAAAUUCACUUUAAUUUUAUUUGCAGUAUUACAAAUAAUUGGAGAAUUAUGUAUGUCCCCUGUGUGGUGUGAUGUGGGUGUGCAUACUACUGAGUGAAAUGUGAAUACGUUUGGUUUUAAGCCAUGAGCUACUGUACUUCAGGAUGGACCCAGCGAGUGUGGCAGCACCCUCUUAGUCACUCCGAUGAAACCCCAGUUCAAGCCUGACUUCCCAGCAAGGUUCAGUCUUGCACAUGUACUGAUGAAAUGAAGGUUGUACUCUGCUGUUCCAGAUUCUCUGGCGAGCAAUUUCAUCCCCAUGACAUACCUGGGCAACCUUCCGGUGUGCCCUCACUUGUAGCUCUGUGGCUGCGGCCUCAGUGGGCUUUCAGCAAAGAGGAGGCCAUGGCUAAGUCUUUUCUCAGCCCAGCCCAAAGCAGCCUCUGGCACCACAGGAUCCUGCAGUGAGCCCAGGCUCAGCACAGCCAGCCCCAGGCCUGCUGGGGAGCCUCUUUAUUUCAGACCAUAAAAAAGCUCCAGCAAAUUUUAUCACCAUGGCUUGUCAACAUGGCUUCAAAAUUGUUGCUGCAGUUUCACUAGAGAUGGGUGCAAAGCUACUGGUGAAAUCUUACGUAAACAGGAAGAAAAUAUAGCUGUUCCCUUAGUGACUCCAUAGUGACAGGGAAAUGCCUUCCAAUUUCACAAUCAUCUCUUUUCAGUAUGGGUCAAGUUCACCACCUCUCCUGAUUAGGCCUACUGCUGUCAGCCGAGGAAGACAGGCUGGACUCAGUCCUCAGCAGUACUUUGCACAUCAGGACACGUCUCUGCCUCUGAACUGCUGACCUCCCACUUCUCCCUAGAGACAAGCUGCUAGGCAGCUCAAACACACCGCAGGCACCAAGCUCUGGUAAACAGCUGGACAUUAACCUGUCAUGAACCUUACCUCAGGGUGAAGCAGUGCAGAAAUCAGACAGCAGAACUAAGGUCACUCCAUGUGCUGAACCUCUCCUGGAGCCUCACAAGGAACACGCUGCCAGUGAAAGGCUGCAGCCCAAGCUUGGCUGGCACUACGUGUGCUUUUAGCAGGGACUAUGAACACUCCUUUGUGUGUGCACCUCUGGUAACAUAGUGUAGACUUCCCUCGUGCCCUCAAAUAUCUCAGCAGUUCUGGGCCUUCUGCUGACAAAUGGGCCAAAUUUGUCAAUAGUUUUUCUCAGGAUGAAUGGCAAAGAAACCUAGAGCUUUUAAAGCAAGUAUUUUGUCUAAAAUGUCCUUUCUUAACCAUUUAGGGUAAUUACAAGUAGCAAACAGAUCAUGUAAACCAUGACUUCCUGAUGCGCAAUUCACCGGAAUGAAAGCUAAAUCAAUGCAAUGAACUGGGGUGCUGAGCAGGUUAUCACACUCUUAUGUGACAAGAGACCUGAAGCGACCACCUUGUAACUUCUUCCACUGGUUUCUGUUCCAGGCCUCUCUUGCAUGAUGGUGGUGAAGCCUGCUGCAAUUCAUUUAACCACAUGAGCUCUCAUGAGCUGACACUUAGCCAGCAUCAGAGCAGCAACGCCAAUUCUGGUUACUCAGUGGCCACAACCCAUGACUGCUGAGCCCUCUCUUGCUUAGUGCAUUUGCUGAAGGCAGUGCAGCUGGUCGUAACAGCAAUGGAGCAAUAAAAAACUCAUUUUCAUCCGA